CGGGUGAGUAAUACAUAUUUAACAUACCCCCCAAAAGUGCAUAGCUACCCGAAAGGGUAAUUAAUACACUAUAGGAGGCUCCGACACAAGUCGGGGUCUUUAAAGGCCUUGGCCGAUGAGGGAUUGGAAUAUGCUCUAUUAGCUUGUUGGCGGGAUAAAAGCCCACCAAGGCAAUGAUAGAUAGCUGGUCUAAGAGGAUGAACAGCCACAAUGGGAUUGAGAUACGGCCCAUAUUCCUACGGGAAGCAGCAGUAGGGAAUCUUCCACAAUGGGCGAAAGCCUGAUGGAGCGAUGCCAUGUGAACGAUGAAGGUCUUUUUGAUUGUAAAGUUCUUUUAUAGGAGAAAAUAAUGAUUGUAUCCUAUGAAUAAGUGACAGCAAACUAUGUGCCAGCAGCUGCGGUAAUACAUAGGUCGCGAGCGUUAUUCGGAUUUAUUGGGCGUAAAGCAAGCGCAGGCGGACGGACAAGUUUUGUGUUAAAAGCAGUUGCUCAACAAUUGUUUGCGCUGAAUACUGUCC
rnacentral:rRNA from 1 species